rnacentral:misc_RNA from 1 species
GAUGAAGAACGUAGCGAAAUGCGAUAAGUAAUGUGAAUUGCAGAAUUCAGUGAAUCAUCGAAUCUUUGAACGCACAUUGCGCCCGCCAGUAUUCUGGCGGGCAUGCCUGUUCGAGCGUCAUUACAACCCUCAGGCCCCCGGGCCUGGCGUUGGGGAUCGGCGGAGCCCCCCGUGGGCACACGCCGUCCCCCAAAUACAGUGGCGAUCCCGCCGCAGCUUCCAUCGCGUAGUAGCUAACACCUCGCGACUGGAGAGCGGCGCGGCCACGCCGUAAAACACCCAACUCUUCUGAAGUUGACCUCGAAUCAGGUAGGAAUACCCGCUGAACUUAAGCAUAUCAAUAAGCGGAGGA